AGAGUGAGGAUUGUGACUGAGUGAUGCGCUGAGACUCUCACUGUGAGGCACUGCACUCAGCUGUGGACGCUCUGCAGCUGUCACCAGGAUGAACAGAGCAAAGGUCUGGAAGAAGAACAUAAAGGGUGAGACUCGUCUCCACAAGGCCUGUAUCAGGGGUGACCUGCAACUGGUCACCACCCUCAUUGAACAGGAACAUUCCUUGAAUGAGAGAGACAAUGCUGGCUGGACACCAUUACACGAGGCUUGUAACCAUGGCCACAUCGAAGUUGUGCGUUGUUUGCUGGACGCCGGGGCGAAGGUCAAUGACUCAGAUGACAGCAUGUGUGAAGGAAUCACCCCACUCCACGACGCUCUGAAUAACAGGAGGCUGAGCGUGGUCGAGUUGCUGAUAGCCAGAGGAGCAUCCGCCAAUCUCAGAGACAAAGAGGGGUCCACACCUCAGGAUAUCAUCAAUAACUUGUGCCAGAUGUCAGACCUAGACAUGAAAACCCAGGACAGGCUGGUGAACAUAAAGAGACGACUGCAGACAACCUCACUGGCAGCUGUGAAUGGUGAUGAGAAUUUUGGCCAAGUGGUUAACCCUGAGCCCAGCCCGUCGCUUGCGGUCACUGGGUCUAAGGUAUGGAACCUUCCGGAGCUCCCACUGGGCAAGCGAGCAUCCGAAGCCGAGCUCAGCCCUCCCUUGACCGAAGACUGGUUGGACAACAGCCCCUCGAAGCGCAGGAGACAGGUCACCUUUUCUUCCUGGGACGCAGACUCCUUGGAGGACGAGAUCUUGCCCAUGUUCCACCUGACCAUGAGCAGCCAAGGCUCGCAGGUCACAGAGCAGAAUUCACAGCCCGAGGCCGGUGAGGGCACAGGGCACUGGGCCGAGAGUCAAGCGGGAGUGGUGGUGGACAGCUCAAUGAUAUACUCGUGCGAAAGCGACGAGGGGAGCACCACAGACGUCCUACAGGAAACCAGGGAUUCAUCAUCAACAGAGAUAUCAUCACCCUCACCUCCAUUCCGAUCCCACCCUCCCCCUCCUGGUAACCCUGCACCUCUCACAGACCCCGGGGACUGGGCGGGGGGCCAGGCGGACCCCAAGGCAGUGGAGAAAGGCUAUCACUGGUCAGACUCUGGGCUGGCGGGUGACUGGCCGUGUGCAGGUCAAGGCCAGGACAGGGAGAUGGCAGUGAGGGAGGGCACACACCUCACACCUCAUUCCUCCCAGGGAGCAGCGCAGCCCAUGGUAUCGGUGGUCGGUGUCCCCCUGGGAAUCCGUAUCAGAGUCCGGGUCAGAGACAUCACCUUCCUCAUCGGUGUGCCUCACAGUCGGACACACGAUGUGGGCUGGCUGGCUGAACAGGCGAGCAACAGAUACCAACAGACCUGUGGGUUCCUCCCGCGGGUGACCCUGACCAGCUCUGGGGCCCGGCUCCACCCGCAGGAUCUCGUACUUCACGUUCUCCGUGACAACGAGGAGGUUCUGGCGGAGGUGACGGCCUGGGAUCUGCCUCCUCUGAGUGACCGUUACACCAGGUGCUGUCAGCUCAUGAGACUGGACAGGGUCCCGGCCUUGGCGAAGGUGCUUAAGCUGCAGGAGACCAGCCCGAGCCUGGACCUGUCUGACCUGGAUCUGGGGCGAGAGCAGUCGCCCCCCUUGCUCCGCGCCCUCCAGCGACAGAGCGAGACCCGCGAGCUGCGUCUGAGCAGCAACAGGCUGUGUGACAGGCUCCUGGAGGAGCUGGGAUCCACCCUGGCCACCCUGCCCGGCCUCAGCCACCUAGACCUGGCCUCCAACCGCAUCUCUGCCCCCGGCCUGAUGGCGCUGUGUGACGCCACACUCGGGCCCUCUGACCUCAGCUUGCAGAGUCUGGAGAAGUUGGAUUUGAGUAUGAAUGCCCUGGGUGAUGCCUGUUCUCCCUCCAUCGCCCGACUCCUGACCACCUGCCCCAGACUGAACACGCUCAGACUCCAGUCCUGUCAGCUCACAUCGACGUUCCUGCAGUGUGACUCUCUGAGAGAAGCCAUCAGAGGAAGCUCAGAGCUGAAGAGGCUGUGCCUGUCGCACAAUAUGCUGGGCUUGAAUGGGGUGAAGCUGCUCACACAGACCCUGCCCCAACACAUCUCUCAUCUGGACAUCGCCUCGGUGGUCGGGAGCCUCAGCCACAAAGCUUUUAUCAGUCACAUUGCGACUUACCUCUUACAGGAUGCCUGUGCUCUGACUCACCUCAACCUGUCUGAAACAGUUUGACAGACGACGAUAUCCAAGACUUUGCCAGCUCCCUGAUGUCCUACCCACUGCUGGUCUCUCUCGACCUGUCAGGCAAUUUGGGCAUUACUGAUACUGGGCAGGAGCUUCUCCUCUCGGCUCUCAGCAGCCGGGAUUCCCGCAUGGACAGCCUCAUCCUCGCAGGUUGUUCCAUCAAAAAUUAGCAACGGGUUCAGAAGAAUGAGACCCUCUCCUGAGAAGAAACUCCUCAACUUGCAACAAGCUCAGAGCCUAGUGGCCAAACAACAGCAGCUUACACUUACAUAUAGGUUCCUUCGCAACAGCCAGGGGGGGACUAACCUUUUGCUAUUGAGGACCGGAUGCCUUGUUUGAGAAAAUUCCGCAGGUCUCAUAAGCAAUAUGUUUCUCUUCCAGAAACAUCACAUAACAUAUCAGGAGGGCUGGAGGGCAG